GAUGAACGCUAGCUACAGGCUUAACACAUGCAAGUCGAGGGGCAUCAGGCAAGUGGCUUGCCACUUGUGCUGGCGACCGGCGCACGGGUGAGUAACGCGUACCGGACCUGCCCCGCGCUCCGGGAUAGUCUUGCGAAAGCAAGUUUAAUACCGGAUGCCGCCGCACGGCCGCAUGGCUGUACGGCGAAAGAUUUAUCGGCGCGGGAUGGCGGUGCGUCCCAUUAGGCAGUUGGCGGGGUAACGGCCCACCAAACCGACGAUGGGUAGGGGUUCUGAGAGGAAGGUCCCCCACAUUGGAACUGAGACACGGUCCAAACUCCUACGGGAGGCAGCAGUGAGGAAUAUUGGUCAAUGGGCGGAAGCCUGAACCAGCCAAGUAGCGUGCAGGAUGAAGGCCCUUAGGGUUGUAAACUGCUUUGGUGCGGGAGUAAAGUGGCGCACGUGUUGCGCUAUUGCAAGUACCGCAAGAACAAGGACCGGCUAAUUCCGUGCCAGCAGCCGCGGUAAUACGGAAGGUCCGGGCGUUAUCCGGAAUCAUUGGGUUUAAAGGGAGCGCAGGCGGGAGAUUAGGCCGGCCGUGAAAUGUCCUGGCUCAACCAGGUCACUGCGGUCGGAACCGGUUUUCUUGAGUGCACGCAGGGGUGUUGGAAUUCAUGGUGUAGCGGUGAAAUGCUUAGAUAUCAUGAAGAACUCCGAUCGCGAAGGCAUAUGCCCGGAGUGCAACUGACGCUGAGGCUCGAAAGCGCGGGUAUCGAACAGGAUUAGAUACCCUGGUAGUCCGCGCCGUAAACGAUGGAUACCCGCGGUGCGUCUGUAGAGGUGUGCCGCCAAGCGAAAGCGUUAAGUAUCCCACCUGGGGAGUACGCCGGCAACGGUGAAACUCAAAGGAAUUGACGGGGGCCCGCACAAGCGGAGGAACAUGUGGUUUAAUUCGAUGAUACGCGAGGAACCUUACCCGGGCUCGAACCUGGAAGGGCGCCCUUUGGAGACAGAGGGUUUCCGCAAGGACUUUCCAGGAGGUGCUGCAUGGUUGUCGUCAGCUCGUGCCGUGAGGUGUCGGCUUAAGUGCCAUAACGAGCGCAACCCUCUCCCGCGUUUGCCAUCGGUUCGGCCGGGAACGCCGCGGGUACUGCCGCCGCAAGGUGCGAGGAAGGAGGGGAUGACGUCAAAUCAGCACGGCCCUUACGUCCGGGGCUACACACGUGUUACAAUGGCGGUUACAGGGGGAAGCCAGCAGGCGACUGCGCGCGGAUCCCCAAAGGCCGCCCCAGUUCGGACUGGAGUCUGCAACCCGACUCCACGAAGCCGGAUUCGCUAGUAAUCGCGCAUCAGCCAUGGCGCGGUGAAUACGUUCCCGGGCCUUGUACACACCGCCCGUCAAGCCAUGAAAGCCGGUGGUGCCUGAAGGCCGUGACCGCGAGGGUCGGCCUAGGGUAAACCCGGUGAUUGGGGCU
rnacentral:rRNA from 1 species